AGUACCAAAUAUUUAAAUGCUGGUACCAUUGUGUCUUUGAAUGUUCUCUAAUAAAUAGGUACAAAACUGUUUCUCUUUUUAAACUCGGAUUAGUAGUGUAGUGGCCCAAUUCUAUGUAGAUCGGGAGAAGUCCAUUCCGUAACAUUUCGAUGCGUUUCUACCGAAACUAACCGGAUUAGCCGAUAUGAUAUAUUAAAAAAAAAAUUCUAUAAUAGACAAGUAU
rnacentral:sRNA from 1 species